rnacentral:rRNA from 1 species
AACGAACGCUGGCGGCAUGCCUAACACAUGCAAGUCGAACGAGACCUUCGGGUCUAUUGGCGCACGGGUGCGUAACGCGUGGGAACCUGCCCUUAGGUUCGGAAUAGCUCCCCGAAAGGGGUGCUAAUACCGGAUAAUGUCUUCGGACCAAAGAUUUAUCGCCUUUGGAUGGGCCCGCGUUGGAUUAGCUAGUUGGUAGGGUAAAAGCCUACCAAGGCGACGAUCCAUAGCUGGUCUGAGAGGAUGAUCAGCCACACUGGGACUGAGACACGGCCCAGACUCCUACGGGAGGCAGCAGUGGGGAAUAUUGGACAAUGGGCGAAAGCCUGAUCCAGCAAUGCCGCGUGAGUGAUGAAGGCCUUAGGGUUGUAAAGCUCUUUUACCCGGGAUGAUAAUGACAGUACCGGGAGAAUAAGCUCCGGCUAACUCCGUG